UACGUAGGGUGCGAGCGUUGUCCGGAAUUACUGGGCGUAAAGAGCUCGUAGGCGGUUUGUCGCGUCGUCCGUGAAAACUCGGGGCUCAACUCCGAGCUUGCAUUCGAUACGGGCAGGCUAGAGUUCGGUAGGGGAGACUGGAAUUCCUGGUGUAGCGGCGAAAUGCGUAGAUAUCGUAAGGAAGACCAGUGGCGAAGGCGGGUCUCUGGACAGUUCCUGACACUGAGACACGAAGGCCAGGGGAGCAAAACGGG
rnacentral:rRNA from 1 species